AUUGAACGCUGGCGGCAUGCUUUACACAUGCAAGUCGAACGGUAACAGGGUGCUUGCACCGCUGACGAGUGGCGAACGGGUGAGUAAUGCGUCGGAACGUGCCGAGUAGUGGGGGAUAACGCAUCGAAAGGUGUGCUAAUACCGCAUACGUACUGAGGUAGAAAGUGGGGGACCUUCGGGCCUCACGCUAUUCGAGCGGCCGACGUCUGAUUAGCUAGUUGGUGAGGUAAAGGCUCACCAAGGCGACGAUCAGUAGCGGGUCUGAGAGGAUGGUCCGCCACACUGGGACUGAGACACGGCCCAGACUCCUACGGGAGGCAGCAGUGGGGAAUUUUGGACAAUGGGCGCAAGCCUGAUCCAGCCAUGCCGCGUGUCUGAAGAAGGCCUUCGGGUUGUAAAGGACUUUUGUCCGGGAAGAACGUUUUCGGGGUGAAUAAUCCCGAGAAGUGACGGUACCGAGAGAAGAAGCCCCGGCUAACUCUGUGCCAGCCGCCGCGGUAAAAC
rnacentral:rRNA from 1 species